UACGGGGGGGGCAAGCGUUGUUCGGAAUUACUGGGCGUAAAGGGCGCGUAGGCGGGGGGACCAGUCUCUCGUGAAAGCCCACGGCUCAACCGUGGAAUUGCGGGAGAUACUGUCUGUCUUGAGUCCGGGAGAGGAGGGUGGAAUUCCCAGUGUAGCGGUGAAAUGCGUAGAUAUUGGGAGGAACGCCGGUGGCGAAGGCGGCUCUCUGGACCGGUACUGACGCUGAGGCGCGAAAGCUAGGGGAGCAAACGGG
rnacentral:rRNA from 1 species